GAACAGAAAUUAGACCUUUCAAACAAAAUCUAUUCGCGCUCUCCCUUUUUUCCCACAGUCCCACUCUUCUCGCUAAAAAUGAAAAUCCCCAGAUCCCUUCAGAUCUCUAUCCCUCGGAGAGAUCGUAACGACGCUUCGUCGGUGUGUGAGAUCAUUGAAUCAAAGAUGAUCGACUCUCACUUUACAACCCUUAUUACUAACGAGGAGGCUCGGUCCCGUCGCGAGAUCGUGACUGGAACGGCAGCUAGUAAGCGGUGGUUCUGAAUCCUGAUGGCGGCAGCUGAAGCAUUUAGGUAUGGCUGCCUCAUUUCCGCUUCUGAAGCUGCAAGAGAUGGUGGCAUUCUUAUUGGAGCUUUGCAUAAAUCAGAUUUCUAUGCAUUUUUUUGGGCAGACGGUUAGUUUUCUUUUGGGUUCCUAUGAUUAUGAACGCUAUCUGGCUCCCCUUCCCUCCCCGCUGCUUUCAGGUAAUCACUCCUUCACUAUGUCAGGAGACCAUGGUAACAUCAUGAUCUGCAGCCAAUCUCUGGUAGAUGGCUACUGGUGCUCCUGACAUGGUGGAGAAGCGAUUACCUGAGAGCAAAGAGGAGGGUAUGCAGGUACCGUUCAUUAUCAUAGGAAUCCUAGAAAGUUGCAUAACCGCCAACUUCAGUUCUGGAGUGGUCAAUGGCUGACGCGGUCAAGUGCAGAUAUUAAUAAUGUUAGAUUGAAUGUACAAGGAGUUGGGAUUCACAAAACUAGUUACACGUCGUAGCGGAUAACAAGUAUGCUUGGACUUUUGCCCUUCACACUAUCGAAUUACCUGCCUCUAUCGAAUGUCAGCCCUGAGCGUGUAUGCCCAAUGCAUGAUUAUUCUUGGAUUAAUCGGUCUAAAUGUGUAUUGAAAUUUUGGUAAAAAUAAAUUCAGCAAACA